rnacentral:rRNA from 1 species
GAUGAACGCUGGCGGCGUGCCUAAUACAUGCAAGUCGAGCGAACAGACGAGGAGCUUGCUCCUUUGACGUUAGCGGCGGACGGGUGAGUAACACGUAGGUAACCUACCUAUAAGACUGGGAUAACUUCGGGAAACCGGAGCUAAUACCGGAUAAUAUUUCGAACCGCAUGGUUCGAUAGUGAAAGAUGGCUUUGCUAUCACUUAUAGAUGGACCUGCGCCGUAUUAGCUAGUUGGUAAGGUAACGGCUUACCAAGGCAACGAUACGUAGCCGACCUGAGAGGGUGAUCGGCCACACUGGAACUGAGACACGGUCCAGACGCCUACGGGAGGCAGCAGUAGGGAAUCUUCCGCAAUGGGCGAAAGCCUGACGGAGCAACGCCGCGUGAGUGAUGAAGGUCUUCGGAUCGUAAAACUCUGUUAUUAGGGAAGAACAAACGUGUAAGUAACUGUGCACGUCUUGACGGUACCUAAUCAGAAAGCCACGGCUAACUACGUGC